rnacentral:lncRNA from 1 species
UCAAAUUUAAUUAAAUAUACAAUCAAGAUCCAUAUGCCAGAAUGGGCGUACACAACAAAAUUAAAGUACUAGCGGAAACCAAAUAGACUCUUUAUUUAACUAAUAUCUUAGGAUCCCAUUCAUGUGUGAAACUUUCUGUCCAAACCAUUCCAAGCCGUUCCUUAUUCUGCAAUAAAAUGUCAUUUACGUGGGUAAGUUUCAAAAACUUAGUACGUGAAUAUAUAAUCAAUCUUAUAUUUCAUAAAUUUCUUUUAGGGCAUAUCAGCCCUCCUUGGUUACCAAUAGAGGUUCUUACGAACCCCCCUUUUUCCUUUACAUGAGUCAUCGAGUAAACCCUCGUCAUGCCGUCAAACCCCGUCGGCUUAUGUAGCCUCGUCAGGCCCGUAAAGUUCCGUUCAUUUCAUGUGUCGUCAAAUCCCUAAGGAUCCGUAAUUUUGUAUGAUUGGGCAUGAGUGAGGAGAGAAUGAGUGUUCCACUCAAUCCAAAUCUUGGUUCGUAACCUUGGUGGACCUUCGGUGAAUAGAGAGAAGGUUAGAUUGAGUGUCACCCCAGGGACUUGCUUGAUCUUCUCCUUUCGUCGUUCACCUCUAAAUCCCUAACUUCAAGGUUUGGGUUCCUUUAGGAUUUAACCCGAUGGUGGAUGGAAAUAGUUCAGGUCGAGUACCAUUCCAAGAACUGGCUCGACCCGCCCCUUUCAUUGUCCAUUCCUAAAUUCAUUCAAAUUUAGGGUUAGGGUUUCUUAGGUUUCAUUGAUUUCCCUUUUACACUUUUCGUUAUUAGAUCCAAAGAAAACUCAAAGUUGAAAUAAAACCCUAAAUGUUAUUUAAAUCCUCGAGUAAUGAAACAGUUUGCAUUAGUAAAAAUCAAGAUUUUAAAUUGACUAGGUUUUAGUUUAAUUUAUCUCUCGUUCGUUAACUCAAACUUUAAAAACAAAACGCAGACCUUUAAAUUUACUUGACCACCACCCUGGAAUACGCAGUAGAUCUAUAGAGUUGAGACUUAACCUCAAACAACCAACCCAAUUAUUCAGACCCGUCUCUUGAUUUUAUUGGCUAAAAUCAACCAUGUAGGUGUCGCAGACCUUGUGGAGCCCAGUCCACGAUUAUAGUCCCGUGUUCAUAAGGAUUUUUUUACUGUCUAGUAAAUUAAUUUAAAGAACAAAAAUCAGAAACCAGCAACUCCAGAGAUUAUCUAGCAAUGAUACUAAAAUAUCAGACAAAAAAUCAGAAGACAGAAAAUCAGAAAAGGAAAAAAAAAACAGAAAAUAGGAAAACGGAAAACGGAAAAUAAAAAAAGAAAAACAAAAAAUAAAAGAAAAGAAGAAAAACUUAACUUCCUUUGAACCAAAAAAAACAAUCGAACAACAACUUUGUUGUACGAAAACAUGCCUCAAAUCCUCCAAUGGAGAUACAAUCCGUAACCCAAAAAUCAUUCAUAUCCUUACAUAAUUUCAUAUCAUUUUUAAUGACAAUACUUCAUACUAAAAUUAUUCUAGUAAAAGGAUUGAAUAUAUCCACGUACCUUAAUCUCUUCUUAGUUUUUUCUUCUAACACUUG